rnacentral:tRNA from 1 species
GGGGGAUUGGCGCAGUAUGUUCAUAAAGCCUCGCUGAUAUCCUCAUUUUCAGUUAUUAACAAUGUUAGAUGGUAGCGCGUGGCUCUCCUGAAGCCAAGGUUGUGGGUUCGAGUCCCAUGUUCCUCG